UACGUAGGGGGCUAGCGUUGUCCGGAAUCAUUGGGCGUAAAGGGCUCGUAGGCGGCCAACUAAGUCAGACGUGAAAUCCCUCGGCUUAACCGGGGAACUGCGUCUGAUACUGGAUGGCUUGAGUUUGGGAGAGGGAUGCGGAAUUCCAGGUGUAGCGGUGAAAUGCGUAGAUAUCUGGAGGAACACCGGUGGCGAAGGCGGCAUCCUGGACCAACACUGACGCUGAGUGAGCGAAAGCCAGGGGAGCAAACGGG
rnacentral:rRNA from 1 species